UGUGGUCAAUCAUAUCUGUCCUUAUCCUAAAGACCGGAGACUUGUAUUGGAUGAUUGAGUCUUGUGUGCAGGCGGUAAAACAAUGGUGCUGAGCCAUUGUGUAUAUACGUGUCGUUUCAGGUUGCUACAAUAGAAAGAACGGAACUGAUGGCCGAAGCUAAAGCUCGAUUCUUGGUGGUGUUCAUGCUCUUGGUUUCCCUCCAUGCCCACGUCUCCAUGAGUACAGAGGCCAGACCGCUUACCCCCGAUAAGGAACAGAGGUAUGUGGAAGUGUUGCAGUCGCUGGGGAUCAGAUGCCGCUGCUGCGAUGGCGUGGGAGGUGAAUGCCGGAGCACAUGGGCCUCCCAUUGUGCCAAGCUGGAGUGCCAUCCUUCCAAGUUCUUAUGAAGCUGUCCUGGAUGGAAGUUUGAUUACAACAUCAUGUAAACACACAAAAAGAAACGCAUCAUGUUGAUACUUGUCUUCCAAUAAUUGGGAAUAUGGGUAUGCUGGUACUCUUCCAUCA